CGCCUUUGACAGUUAUGCAAUUGCUUGAAAGUUAGGUAUGUAGGUUAAGGAGAGGAGAUCAGAUUGUUAUGUGUUUCAACAUCAUAUCAUAUGGUAUCUUUUUGAUGGAGCUUUGUAAUUUAACUUCUAAGAACUUGGAGAAUUGUUUGCUUUUGAAGAUGUUUUUCUGGUUUGCUUUUGGAGAUAGCGCUUACCAUUCUAUCUCCUUUGCAGAAUUGCAUAAACCUUUUCCUUUGGACACAGCUUUUUGUUUUCUUAGCCUUUUCCUUCCCUUUAUAAUCUUUAUUCUUCCAUUAUCAGUACUUUUGGCCCAUUUCUUGCAUAUUCCUGCAUACUAGGUUUAGAAUUAGAUCUUUUAAUUAAGUUGAAAAAG
rnacentral:misc_RNA from 1 species